GGCCGCGGGAAUUCGAUUCAGGCCUAACACAUGCAAGUCGAGCGAUGAAACCCUUCGGGGUGGAUUAGCGGCGGACGGGUGAGUAACACGUGGGUAACCUGCCUCAAUGAGGGGAAUAGCCUUCCGAAAGGAAGAUUAAUACCGCAUAAUAUGUUUAGAUCGCAUGAUCUUAACAUCAAAGGAAUUUCUUCGGAGAUUCCACUUUGAGAUGGACCCGCGGCGCAUUAGCUAGUUGGUGAGGUAACGGCCCACCAAGGCAACGAUGCGUAGCCGACCUGAGAGGGUGAUCGGCCACAUUGGAACUGAGACACGGUCCAGACUCCUACGGGAGGCAGCAGUGGGGAAUAUUGCGCAAUGGGGGAAACCCUGACGCAGCAACGCCGCGUGAAUGAAAAGGGCCUUCGGGUUGUAAAGUUCUGUCUUCUGGACGAUAAUGAC
rnacentral:rRNA from 1 species